GACGUAGGGGGCGAGCGUUGUCCGGAUUCAUUGGGCGUAAAGAGCGCGUAGGCGGCCCGGAAAGUGGGGUGUGAAAGCCCUCGGCUCAACCGAGGAAUUGCGCUCCAAACUACCGAGCUUGAGUAGGCUAGAGGUGAGCAGAACUGAUGGUGGAGCGGUGAAAUGCGUUGAUAUCAUCAGGAAUACCGGAGGCGAAGGCGGCUCACUGGGACCUAACUGACGCUGAGGAACGAAAGCUAGGGGAGCAAACGGG
rnacentral:rRNA from 1 species